UACAGAGGUCCCAAGCGUUGUUCGGAUUCAUUGGGCGUAAAGGGUGCGUAGGCGGCGCGGUAAGUCGGGUGUGAAAUCUCGGGGCUUAACUCCGAAACUGCAUUCGAUACUGCCGUGCUUGAGGACUGGAGAGGAGACUGGAAUUUACGGUGUAGCGGUGAAAUGCGUUGAUAUCGAUAGGAACUCCGGUGGCGAAGGCGGCAUACUGGACCACUUCUGACGCUGAGGCGCGAAAGCCAGGGGAGCGAACGGG
rnacentral:rRNA from 1 species